ACAUGCAAGUGGUAGGAAUCCGAAAGGUGACCGACCUUCGGGAGCUUGCACAGGUGCUGCAUGGCUGUCGUCAGCUCGUGUCGUGAGAUGUUCGGUUAAGUCCGCUAACGAGCGCAACCCUCGUCGUGUGUUAUACGUGUCACACGAUACUGCCGGUAUCAAGCCGGAGGAAGGUGGGGAUGAUGUCAAGUCAGCAUGGCCUUUAUAUCCUGGGCUACACACACGCUACAAUGGCCAACACAAUAGGUUGCUAAGCCGCGAGGUGGCGCCAAUCCAUAAAGUUGGUCUCAGUUCAGAUUGUAGGCUGCAACCCGCCUGCAUGAAGAUGGAGUUGCUAGUAACCGCAGGUCAGCUAUACUGCGGUGAAUACGUUCCCGGGGCUU
rnacentral:rRNA from 1 species